rnacentral:rRNA from 1 species
CCCAGACUCCUACGGGAGGCAGCAGUGGGGAAUAUUGCACAAUAGGGGAAACCCUGAUGCAGCGACGCCGCGUGAGUGAAGAAGUAUUUCGGUAUGUAAAGCUCUCUCAGCAGGGAAGAAAAUGACGGUACCUGACUAAGAAGCCCCGGCUAACUACGUGCCAGCAGCCGCGGUAAUACGUAGGGGGCGAGCGUUAUCCGGAAUUACUGGGUGUAAAGGGAGCGUAGACGGCGAGGUAAGCCUGAAGUGGAAGCCCGCGGCCCAACCGCGGAACUGCUUUGGGAACUGUUUUGCUGGAGUAUGGGAGGGGUAAGCGGAAUUCCUAGUGUAGCGGUGAAAUGCGUAGAUAUUAGGAGGAACACCAGUGGCGAAGGCGGCCUGCUGGACGACAACUGACGGUGAGGCGCGAAAGCGUGGGGAGCAAACAGGAUUAGAUACCCUCGUAUC